rnacentral:lncRNA from 1 species
CUCUCAUUCUAACAAACUUUCUCGGCGACGUUUUUUUUUUGGCGAGUUUGCCAGAAAAUUUCUUCGAUUCCGAUUCCGAUUUGCUUUGUAUUGAUCACGACUUCGUCUCUCGUCUUCUCCUUCAAUUUCAGCUCGUUUUUCUCGAUCGUCUUCUCUUGAAUCUAGGUGGAUUUUGAGCCAUGGGGAAACGAAAAUCAACUUCGAAGCUUCGUGUUUGUACACCAUAUCCGCCGGAAAUCGAUUUUCAGAUGUCUAAUGAGAAGGUUCGUAACGUGUCUCCGUCGCGUGUUGCUUCUGGCUCCGUCAAUCGUCCAGAUGAUCGCCGAUCUCGAUCGCAACCAUUCGAGGUAUCGGAUUCUCCUGAUAACAUUCAUAGUCCAUAUCAUCUACAUAGCUCCGAUCAUCCAUGUCUUGUGUUAGUUCCCGAUCUCUUAGAUUGAUCUAAUUAUGGAACUUGGAUAGUAGCUAUUACUACGAGUAUCAACGCUAAGAAUAAGAUAUGAUUUGUGGAUGGAUCGAUUGUUAAACCUGAUGAUGAUGAUUCCUACUGCAAGAUCUGGAAACGUUGUAACAGCAUGGUCAAGUCAUGGCUCAUGAACAGUGUGUCGAAGAAAAUCUAUUCCAGCAUUCUCUACAUUCCUACUGCUGCUGAGAUUUGGAAAGACCUUCACACCAGAUUCCACAAGUCUAAUCUUCCUCGCUUGUACAAAUUACGUCAACAGAUACAUUCAUUACGUCAAGAUAGCAUGGAUCUCUCAUCUUAUCAUACUCAGACUCAGUCAUUGUGGGAAGAAUUGGCAAGUCUUCAGGUCACUGCAAGAAUAGUAGAAGAUUUAUUGGCUGAACGUGAAACAAAUAAGGUCAUUGACUUCCUUAUGGGACUUAAUGAUGGAUAUGAUACAGUGAGAAGUCAGAUUUUGAUGAAGAAGAGUUUACCUUCUCUGUAUGAGGUCUAUAAUCUAUUGGAUCAAAAGGAUAGUCAGAAAUCAGUUCGUCUUUCUUCUAUCACUGGUAUGGAAUCUACUGCCUUUCAAGUUUCACAACAGUCUUCACUUGGUGGUUCUAAUCAGUAUCAUCGAAAGGAUCGUCCUAUCUGCACUUUCUGUGGGAAAUCGGGUCACAUUAUGGACAAGUGUUAUAAGAAACAUGGUUAUCCGGUUGGUUUUCCGAAACCUAUGUCCUUCAGGCCUGCUCAAAAUAUUGCUGCAAAUGUCACUAUUGAGCAACUUACUGAGCUCUCUUCCUUAGACCAGAAUGAUCAAUCCUUUGGUGAUAACUUGUCCACAGAACAGAUGCAGCAGAUUGUUUCUUUCCUUAGCACCAAGCUUCAUUCUUCUAGCUCUGUCUCCAAACCUGAAGUACACUCUGUCUCAUUGUCUUCCUUACCUAUUUCUUCAUCAACCAAUGGUCCAACACCUGGUAUUUUUUCCCCUCUAUCAUUUGUUCUUUUACCAGUGUUGAUAGACCUUAUGUCUGUUCUAUAGAUAGCAACAUCAAUGCUAUUAAUGCUUGGGUUAUAGACACAGGAGCCACUAGCCACAUAUGUCAUGAUAAAUCAGCCUUUUCCACAUUUCAUUUUCUUCAAAACACCAUUGUUACUCUUCCUAAUGGUGGUCUUGUGAGCAUUGUCGGAAUAGGAUCUAUACAUAUGGGUAGACAUUUAGAGCUUCAUGAUGUUCUAUAUAUUCCCCAAUUCAAAUUCAAUCUCCUUAGUGUCAGUUGUCUGACUAAAAGUAUGUGUUGUAAAGUCUGGUUUGAUGAACAUUCUUGUGUUCUUCAGGAUCCUUCUCGGGAAUUAAUGAUUGGCGUGGGUAGGCAAGUGGCAAACCUCUACUUCUUGGAUAUCGAGUCUCUUGAUUUACCUGUUGAGUCUUCUUCUCUUGUUGCUGCUACUAUUACCAGUCAUGAUUUGUGGCAUAAAAGGUUAGGUCAUCCCUCUUUUUAUAAACUUCAGUCUUUGUCUCAUCUUUUAGACUUCAAAAAGGAACCAAAAAUCCAAAAAGAUUUCCACUGUAAAACUUGCCAUAUUGCAAAACAGAAACACAUCCCUUUUAUUUCUCAUAAUAAUAUCAAAAUUCCCUUUGAGUUGGUUCAUAUAGAUACUUGGGGUCCCCUAGCUGUCCCUACUCAUGAUGGUUUUAGAUACUUUCUAACCAUUGUCGAUGACCAUUCUAGAGCCACUUGGGUCUAUCUUAUGAAAAAUUAUCUGAUGUGUUAACUAUUUUCCCAUCCUUUGUUAAUAUGGUAGAAACUCAAUUUGAAACAAAGAUUAAGGGGGUUAGAUCUGACAAUGCUCAAGAGUUUAAUUUUACUCAAUUUUAUCAAUCUAAAGGUAUCCUACCCUACCAUUCUUGUCCUGAAACACCACAGCAAAAUUUCGUAGUUGAAAGGAAACAUCAUCACAUACUAAAUGUUGCUAGAUCUCUCUUUUUUCAAUCUCAUCUUCCUCUCUCUUACUGGGGAGACUGUAUUUUUGCUGCUAUUCAUCUCAUAAACCGGCUUCCUACUCCUGUUCUAGAGGACAAAAGUCCAUUUGAGGUUUUAACAAAGAAAGUCCCUGACUAUAAUGAAUUAAAGGUCUUAGGGUGUCUCUGUUAUGCAUCAACCUCACCCAAAAACAGACAUAGAGCUCGUGCUUGUGUUUUUCUAGGUUAUCCUUCUAGAUAUAAGGGAUAUAAACUCCUUGACCUAGAAACUAAUGACAUUUUUUUAUCUAGCCAUGUCAUUUUUCACGAGGAACUCUUUCCUUUUGCUAAAUCAGACUUAUCUCAGGAAGCUAAAUCUCUAUUUCCUGAUCUGAUUCAGCAUUCUCCUAUGGUCAUUCAUUCUUCCAGUGAUGAUGCUUCUCCAUCAUCACCUUCUGUAGAGAUUAUUCCUUCUGAUAAUCCUACUAUUGAUGUUCCUGAACCUUCUGUUCAAACAUCCCAUAGGAGAACCAAAAAGCAUGAUUACCUUCAAGACUACUAUUGUCAUUCAGUAGGGUCUUCAACCAUCCAUGAAAUCUCUCAGUUUCUUUCUUAUGAUAAAGUGUCAGUACUUUAUUUUUCUUUUUUGCCCUGUAUUGAUAAAAAAAAAAAGAACCCUCAACCUACAAUGAGGCAAAGGAAUUUAUGGUUUGGUGUGGAGCUAUGGAUGAUGAAAUUGGUGCUUUGGAAGGAACAUGAACUUGGAAUAUUUGUACCUUACCUCCUAAUAAAAUCAGUAUUGGUUGCAAAUGGAUUUAUAAAAUCAAGUAUAAUGCUGAUGGAAGUAUUGAGAGGUAUAAGGCACGUUUGGUCGCCAAAGGUUACACGCAGCAAGAAGGAGUUGAUUACACAGACACGUUCUCCCCUGUUGCUAAACAAACAUCAGUGAAACUUAUUUUGGCAAUUGCUGAUGUCUACAAUUUGUCUCUUACACAGAUAGACAUAUCAAAUGCCUUUCUCAAUGGAGACCUUAAUGAAGAGAUAUAUAUGAAGCUACCUCCAGGCUACUCUACACGUAAGGGGGACUCUCUCCCUCCUAAUGCAGUCUGUAAACUCAAUAAAUCACUAUAUAGGCUUAAGCAAGCAUCCCGACAGUGGUUCCUUAAGUUUUCAACUACUCUUAUUGCCUUGGGGUUUGCUUCUUCUUACUUUGAUCAUACUGUUUUCCUGAAGAUUACUGAUGUUUUGUUCAUGGUUGUGCUAGUCUAUAUUGAUGACAUAAUUAUAGCUAGCAACAAUGAUGCUGAGGUGACUGUUUUGAAGGAACAACUCCAUUCUCACUUUAAACUGCGUGAUCUUGGCCCUUUAAAAUAUUUUCUGGGAUUGGAGAUUGCUAGAACUUCUAAUGGUAUCUAUAUUGGUCAGCGUAAGUAUGCAUUGGAUCUGCUUGAUGAUACAUGCUUACUUGGUUGUAAACCAUCUAGCAUUCCCAUGGAUUCCAGUGCGAAACUUUCUAAAGACAGUGGUGGUGAUUUUGUGGAUGUCAAGUCUUACAGGCGCCUUAUUGGCCGGUUAAUGUAUCUUCAGACAACCCGUCCAGAUAUUACAUUUGUUGUGAACAAACUUAGCCAAUUCUCUGAAGCUCCAAGAAAAUCUCACCUCAAGGUUGUCUACAAAGUUCUACAUUACAUCAAGGGCACCAUUGGAUAAGGUCUAUUUUAUUCUGCUAAGUCUGAAAUGCAAAUACAACUUUUUGCAGAUGCAAAUCAUAGUUCUUGUCUUGAUACCAGAAGAUCAACUUCUGGCUAUUGCUUGUUUUUGGGCUCUUCUCUCAUAUCCUGGAAGUCCAAGAAACAACAAAUUGUUGCUAAAUCUUCUGUUGAGGCAAAAUACAGGAGUCUCUCCUUUUCCACAGAUGAACUGGUGUGGCUCACUCAUUUUCUUCAGGAACUUCGCAUUCCUUUAGUUAACCCUUCUCUGGUCUUCUGUGAUAGUACUGUUGCGAUUCAUAUUGCCAAUAAUCAAGUCUUUCAUGAGAGAACAAAGCACAUGGAACGUGACUGUCAUAGUGUUCGUGAAGAAUUGGUUGCCGGCUUCUUCAAACUACUACACAUCAGUACCAACCUCCAACUUGCUGAUCCAUUCACUAAACCUCUCUAUCCUGCAGUGUUCAAGCAAUUGGUAAGCAAGAUGGGUCUACUAAACAUCUUCGCCCCAUCUUGAGGGGGACUAUUAAUAUACAUCCGAUUGUGUAUAGUUUGAGUUUGUAUUUAAGAGUCUCUGUAUAUAUUAGAGUCUUUAGAUUACGGUUUAAGGCUUUGGUUUAGGCCAUUGGUAAUUGUAUAUAAACUCAUAUCUUGUAUCAUUUGAGACUUAAUGAGAAAGAGAUUAUGUUCACUAAUAAUUACCAAGAGGAAUGAGUUGAAAUCCGGGUGCCAAAUCCAUCAAUUUGCGUCUGUAAUAAAUCCACUUUCAUAUCAAACGCACUAGAGCAGCCAAUUUUAUCGCAGACGAAGAAAAACGGUGGAGCAACAACGACCGUCCGAUUGACAAAAAUGGUGGCUCGGAAUGAAUCUGGAAUUGGCUCGAACCUAACCGAUCCACUAAUCUGAAGAGAAACAAUUGAUCGAUGUCUGAAACUCGCGAAACUUGAAAGAAAAGAAGAAGAUUUGGAAAUCGCUUACCGUUGGUAUGUGGAAGCAGGGACCGAGGAACUGAGGUUAUCACUUAUUAAUCAUCGUCGUCCCUUUGAUGUGUUGUCAAUCGUUAAAGAAAGAGAGACUUGCCGAGACAGCGUUUUUUUCUACUUAAAAAUCUCACACUUUUUGGGCAUUAACGGACCCUUUGGUCGACAAUAUCAAUGAUACAUUGUUUUGGUCUUAUAUCAACGGGCCAUUCAUAUGGGCAAAUGGCUCCAAAACUAGAUAUUUGGUCUUUUUGUGAGUCGUAAAUGAAAUGUCACAAUAGUUUUAAAGAUUUUCGUAAAACUUCAUGUGUUUAUGUCCAUUUUAUGACUAUAUGAUUUGACACUCAUAAAAAGAUUAUCCCACCACACAUUUGUUUUUUCUUAUUUUCUAACCUAUAUAUUUUAUUAUUUUGAAGUAUACUUUACUUCCAUGUUCUAACUUUAGUUUGGUAUGAUUUUUUAAGUUCGAAUGCUAACAAUUAAAGAUUGAAUUCUAAUAAUAAAAGAUAUAUGCAAAUAAAAAUAUUUCCUAGAAAAAUGGCAAGAUAAUUUGGAGAUUGAAUAGCAAUUGGAAAUGUGUAAUUAGGAUUGGCGUUAGUUAUCUUUGGUAAGUUUUUAGUAUACUUUUUUUUUUAGAAUAUUAAUGUGAUUUAGUUACUACCAACUAUUUUCUAGCCUUUGUAAUUAGUUUUUAUUUUUAUUUUAAAUAUUAUAAUUGAUAUAUUUUAAAAUCAAUAAACAAAUUAUAAUUUUAUGAAUAUUUAAACAUAUAAAAGAUUUAAAAUAACACGGAACGGAUUAUAUUGCAGGACGGGGUUAUAUGGCGGGACGGUUUUUGUGAAAGAAAACGAGGACGGAUUUGACUCAAUAUUAAUAAAAUUUUAAAUAUCAUUAACUGGUCACUUUAAUAUGGGUUGGACUCUCAUUUAGUUUUUUUUAACACUACCAAUAUUAUACAUAUCGAAUCAGUCUGGUAGUUUCACGAUAUAAAAUCUACAUACUAUUACACUUAGAAUAUCACAAAGGUAUGUCUUAUUAAAAACGGUAAAGAAUCAAACUUACGUUACGGUACCAAUAAACAUACAAAAUUAAUACAAUAGGUUCAUUAGUUUAUAAAAAAAAAAAAUUAUUUUCCGGGUCAUAUCCUAGUGCUUUCACUAUUUUCGUAACAAUUCAGACAUCAAUUGGUAAUCAUACGAAAAAUAUAUAAAUAAAUACCCUGCAAAGAGUGUAUUUCGUGUAAUAUUCUGGACUUAAGGCUUCAAUAUUUUUCUAACCAAAAAACAAAAAAAAAAAAAACUAUUUACUUGCUAUUUAGGAGUAUGAAUGGUAAUAAGAGGAAGAAGAAAAUCAUCAUUGAAUAGAAUUUGAUUCUCACAUCGACUCCCAUGUAAAGGCCAUCCAUGUUUGCUGAGUUUGACUCUUUUUUUUUUUUUUUUUUUAACUCGUCAUGACAUGUUUGUUACUACUAAACUAGUCCAAUUCAAACUGUCAUUUCAAAAAUUGGACCAAUCAAUUUUUUAGUAUCACGAGACUAAAACAUAACAUCCAAAAAAACAAACUUUGGAAUCAGGGGAUCAAUCCGAUCGAGUCAUGUUAUAAUCUUGUUCGUCAAAACUCAGAUCACUAACUUAAACUUGCAGAUUACAAAAGUAGAAGAGAAUUUUUAAAAUUUUCAAAGUUAGCACAAUCUAACAAGAAAAUACAUGGUAGAAUGACAGCAGUUCCAUGAUGAACCAACAGUGGAGAAAGUCUGGAGUCAUGUUAUCAUCUAGUAUAUUAUUUAUACUAAAUUCAUGAUCAUCUCGGUCUCCCACCCGUAUUUAGAAACGAAACUUGCCGUGUUGUAUUGUCGACUAGAGAGUUAUGAUGAUCUGACUUUAUUUCGGAUGUGAAUAUCAUUAAUGAACGAAUGUUUGGUGAUAUAGAGGCCCGAAUACACCCAACAGUUGUGGAGUUCACAGUUCAAUAUUGAUCGUCAGAUGUAGUUGCUGGCAUUUGCAAACUCAGUUGGAAACUUGGGAGAUUUUCCCUUAUAAAUAACAUGAGUAUAUAUUAUCUAUUUGGAGAGAUCAAACCCCAAAACAUACAAACACAAGCACUAAGGGUAAAUCUAAGAAAAGUAAAAGAAAAGCUUUGCGCUUGAUAAUGAUUUAAUACAAACAAGAAUCGAACUUAUAUUUACCACAUUCUGCGUUUUUUUCUGAAAAAACGAAACCAACUCAACAUAACCCAUUGAAACAUUUCAUGAAAUACCUGGCAGGCAAUACUUUACAUUUUGGAGAGAUUCACAUACAUAUCAUAAAAUCUCUUGAUACAUUAAUGAAACAGAGGGAUCGAUCAAACCCCAAAACAUACAAACACAAGCACUAAGGGAAGAUCUGACAAAAGUAAAAGAAAAGCUUUGCGCUUGAUAAUGUCUUAAUACAAACCCGAAUCGAACUUAUAUUUAGCACAUUCUACGAUUUUUUCUGAAAAAACGAAACCAACUCAACAUAACCCAUUGAAACAUUUCGUGAAAUACCUGGCAAGUAAUACAUGUAAGCAAUGCCUUUGUGUUUUUAAGUCUGGUUUGAGAGGAUGACUGAGGAAGAAAUGUCUUGGGCAGAGUCGAAUUGGGUUUCAUCUGAAGGAGAAGAAGAGUCGUUAUAAGGAGAUCUUUGGAUCUUCUUUAGUUCUUUGGCAACUUCCACCAUCGUUGGAACUUCUUCACUAGGACCGAUGCAUCUCCGUGAGAGCAUUAGGAAAGCAUUCAUUUGACAAAGCUCUUGUUCUGAAAUGUGACCCAUCUUUUCUAUCAUCUUUGGAUCUGCAAUCUCUUCCAUUCGUCGGUCUUCCUUUAAUUUUGACAUAACAUUUUGAACACGUCUUUUCAUCUUACUGGCAUAACCAGUAUCAGAACCUCCACCUUCACUUUCUUCUUUUUCUCCUAUGCGUCGGUUUCCUAAUAGAAGCCUUCUACCCAUAAACAUUCCAAAGGCAAAUACAUCUGUUUUCUCUGAGACUACUCUGUCAAGGCUUAUGCCACUAUCGUCCAAUAACCAACUAUAGAAUCCCUCUGCUCUGUCAACCCGGACAAAUGUUUCUCCUUCUGGGAUUGAGACGCAGAAAGAGAAAUCAAUCAGCUUGGCGACCCCAUCUUCAUCCAAUAAGAUAUUCCAAGGAAACAAAGUCCUAUAUACGAAGGGCCUAGGGAAUGCAGUGUGAAGGUAAGCUAAAGCAGUAGCGAUAUCUUCUGCUAUCUUCAUUCUCCUUUUCCACGUCUGUUCACUUAUUUUUAAUCGAUAGUGUUUCUUCACACCAUCAUAAACCAAGACUGGCUUUUCCAACUCAAGACAACAUCCAACCAAUUUCAAAAAGUUUUUGUUCACUAAAACCAACUCAAGACUGCAAUUUCAUGUUUCACUUUACUAUAGAUGUGAAUGUCACCUUUGAACCUAUGAUGUUUAGUGAGAUAGAGGCCCCAAAUCCACCAAACAAUCAUGGAAUUCACAGUUCAAUAUUGAUGGCAUUGUUCAUAUGUAAUUGCUGGAAUUUGCAAACUUACAUCAAUUAGCCCUGUUUCCCAACUCACUAUGUAAACUUUAGAAUUGUUAUGGUCUUAUUGACUUGGGAGACUUAACCUUUAUAGUAGACAUCAAUAUAUUAUCAAUACAAGCAAGAUUCACAUAUAUCAUAAAAUCUCUUGAUAACAUUAACAAAAACAGACGGAUCGAUCAAAACCCAAACACAAGCUCUAAGGGUAGGAUCUGACAAUAGAAUUAAAAGUAACGUAGCACUAUAAUGGAUUUCCGUUAACCCAGAGAUUAAGAACAACUUCGAUACUCAAUUAGCUAAGAUCUGAUCGAUUACCAAAGUAUUAAUGAAUCCGAAAUAAGAGAUACAAUCGUGAACUCUCACUCGCAAACGAUUACAAAGAGAUAAACAUAGAUCUCUCUUUUAGCACAUCGCUAGACCAAAGUCUCACAAUGAACUCACAAUUGUUUAUUAAUACAACAAAAAAAUUACGUAAAAGUAAACGAAAUGAAACUUGAUAAUGUUGAAAUACGAACAUGAAUCGAACUUAUUUUCAGUACAUUCUUCGAUUUUUUUACUGGAAAAAAAAAAAAAAAAAAACCAGCUCAACAUAACCCAUUGAAACAUCUCGUAAAAUACCUGGCAGGCACUUGUUUGCACUUAGCAAUGCCUUUGUGUGUUUUAAGUCUGGUUUGAGAGGACGACUGAGGAAGAAAUGUCUUGGGCAAAGUCGAAAUGGGUUUCACCUGAAGUAGAAGAAGAGUCGUUAUAAAGAGAUGUUUGAAUCUUCUUUAGUUCUUUGGCCACUUCCACCAUCGUUGGAACUUCUUCACUAGGACCGAUGCAUCUCAGUGAGAGCAUUCGGAAAGCUUCCAUUUGACAAAGCUCUUGUUCUGAAAUUUGACCCAUCUUUUCUAUCAUCUUUCGAUCUGCAAUCUCUUCCAUUCGUCGGUCUUCCUUUAAUUUUGACAGCCAAUAUCCAGCAUAAUACUCAAAAUAAUAUUGGUUUCCUAAUAGAAGCGAUAGACCCAUAAACUUUCCAAAGGCCAAGACAUCUGUUUUCUCUGAGACUACGCCACUGCUCAUCAUGUAACCAUCGUACAAGUAACUAUAUAAUAAGAUAUCUUCUCUGUCAACCUGGACAAAUGUUUCUCCUUGUGGGAUUGAGACGCAGAGAGAGAAAUCAAUCAGCUUGGCGACCCCAUCUUCAUCCAAUAAGAUAUUCUCAAUAGACAAACUCGUAUAUACGAAGGGCCUAGGGAACGCAGUGUGAAGGUAAGCUAAAGCAGUAGCGAUAUCUUCUGCUAUCUUCAUUCUCCUUUUCCACGUCUGCUCACUUAUUAUUAAUUGAUAAUGUUUCUUUACACCAUGAUAAACCAAGACUGGCUUUUCCAACUCAAGACAACAUCCAACCAAUUUCAAAAAGUUUUUGUGACCACUCACCAUCGAUGAAACUGCUAUGUCCCGGCACAUAAGAUCUGUCCUCAAGCUCCAAAAGCGAGCACGUUUCUUGAUGAGUAUCAUGGGAUGGUUCUCGUUCUUACCUGAAUACCAAUCGGAGUAAUAAGCUAAUCUAAAAACAUGAUUAGAUUUGCUGAAAUUGUUGGUGGCUUUGAGGAUCUCAUCAGCAGAGAAGAAUUUGAUGGGAUUGGAUAUGCCAUGGCCUAAUUCGAUGAGAUCUUUCAACACCAUCGCCCCUCUCUCCAAUGUUCGCUUCUUAUUCAUCUUCCUCCAAAACCAACCCAUCUCUAACCUAAAUUGUUUUUUGACUUUUUCUAUAAAAAAAAAGAGACUUUACUUAGAAGAUUCAAGACCUCACACAAUGAGUUGAAAUCAAGAUGGAUAUUUAGAUCAGAUUUUUAAGGUUCUCAAUUCUUGUUGAAUUUUCAACACUGACGUCCUCCCGCGUAAAUCAGAAAUAUACAUUUUUUUAAUUGUUUAAAUCAAUUGUGAAGAAAGUAGUUGCGACCAAACUAUCUUCCAAGUUUUAUCUUAUCAAAUUCAUAAGGAUUAAACCCGCAAGACAAAAACUUAUUUUUAGUUCAAAUCAUUUUUUAACUUUAAUAAAAACGGUAUCAAAGGAGACUUUCAACAAUUUUGAAUUUACGCUCAUGACAAAUAUGAACAUUCGUUUUCCUCCAAACUAAAUGUAUAGUAAUUUGUGAGGCUAAGUACCUCUUCGUCCAUAAUCGAAGCGACGGGGUUAAGUAAGUAAACAUGGAGUUCAUUGGGUUAACUGAAAAGCGAAAUCAUUUUACAUCUGGCAGAUCUAAUGGCAAACAAAGUAGGAAGAUGUUUGAUCGUUUCAUGUCCAUUAUAUUGCUUAGAUACAUACAUUGUUCCCUCCUAAACAGAGAAGUCUAUAUUUGGUUGGAAGUCUCCCUCUAAGCCCGAGUCAUGAGAUGAGGUGUAAUAUCCCGGCUCAAAUUAACUUUUGAUUUUUCUUGAAUUUUCCUUAGUAGUAUCUCGAGAAAUAUGGGUUUUGGCUCGGAGAAUUUUUAAAUUUCGUAAAGUUUAAAUUGCAUGGUAUGGAACCGAAGAACGGCUUUUUCAUAAAUCAACUCAAUAGGUAUGUUCAAUUUAUACCUUAACUAUAACUCUGUGCAUAUACAUAACCGAACUAAGCAAAAUUUUAAAUUAACUACCUAAUCUUAUCGUUUUGUGCAAAAACAUGCAUAUCUCGAGAUAUUGUUAACAUCUUAUAUAUUAAAGCAGAAGUAGAAACGCCUCACGUUCGCUCUCAGAAUAUGAGCGGACGUUUUUGCCCCCCUCCCCCUUUAAUUAGAUAAAAUUAGUUAAAUUGCCAAAAUAUUUUAAAAAAACGUGUGUUUAAAUAUGUUAAUAUUGCCAUAUUCAUUAGGUCGUCGUAUAGAAACCAUAAUCUGAUCAUUGGGCUUAUUUUCUGUCUAAAAAAUGGCCCGGUAUAAUUUACACCGUCAUAAGUAAAACCCUAAAACCUUAUGUUAGAAAUGCCUAUAAAUAUAUGAAGUCUCCCUAGAAACUCAAACAUCACGGCUUGAUUUUUAUGCAUAACCAUUAUGGUUUAUAGUUCUUUUUUGUACCUCAAAAUAGGUCCUUUCUAUGAUGCGUCGUCAUCGAUAUUUCGUUCUCUUUUUUCUGUUAUGGUCACUUGGAAAGUAAGAUCUCAAUAUCUCAUAGAUCUUUGCCAAUUGUUGAUGAGUUUUUCUAAACGAGGUUUAUAGUUUGGUCGAUUACAUGUUUUUGAUUAGCACCUUCUUCUCUGAUUAGGUACAUGCACAAACUAUUUGGAUUGUGGACUUGCGAACGAAGCUCAAAACAAUCUAAGGUAUCUUUCUAUUCCUAUUUGAUCUAUGCGUAUAAAAGACAAAAAAAAAUCUUAUAAGUAUCUUAUUCGUGUAGAGAUACCUAAUUUUCCGGUUAUGAAGGGAUUAAUUCACAAAUAUUCAUUGAAAUAAAUGCUGCGAAUAAUGAUGAAUAAUUAAUUACGUCCGUGGAUCCUAUAUAUUAAUAAAAAUUUGAAAUACAUAUAUCAAUAAGAAUUAUAUGAAUCUGUUAUGUAUCUAUAUUUUUGAUAUGCUAAUCUUAUUGGUUUGAUAUUAUCCAUCAUAUCCUUUUGAUUUUUUUUUGUUUUUUUUUUUGAAUUCGAUUAUUGUUAAGAAAUUAGCUAAUAAUAUCUAUCUAACCUUUUAAACAAAAAAAGGGAGAUAGAGAUAGAUAUUUGCAAUUUCGAUUGGAACCGUUCCAUAAUUUCUAAUUAUUAUUUUUUAUUAUUUGACGUUAUCCUAUAUAUUAGAAAAAUAAAGAAUAAAGAGUAUUAAGAUAACUACUUAUUAUGUAUUAUUAACAAAUCUAUCGAGAUUGAAUGAUAUAUACGAAUAUUGGAUAGUAUUAAACAUUUUCAGUUUAAUUUCCAAAUAAAAAGGUUAUUGUUACAAAUUUACAUUUUUUUAUUUUACUUUUUUCUAGCAACUUUUGUGUUAUUAUUAUAUAGGUGUACUAGAUCAUCACCCGUACUACAGUACGGGUUAAAAUUUAUUUAUUACAAAAUUUAUAUAUUAUAUAUUUUAGAAUAAAGUUAUGAUAUAUUAUAAUAGUAAUUGAAAAAAUAUAAUUAGAUUGUUGUGAGUCCCUAUAUAUAAUAUUAGAAUGAAUCUAUUUUCUUUUUUUAAUUAUACUCAACUAUGGAUAUAUUUUUUUAAGAUAUAAAAACGGAAAAUAAAAUUAUUUUAAUAAAUUAAUAUGGUCUGAACAAUGAGUUAAUUUAUAUUAACAACCACAAAAUGAGAUUGCAUAUAAUUCAGUUAGAUCAAAAAUCAAAAUAUUAUAAAUGAAUCGCUUCUAAAACUUAGGGGGUGUUAUUCAAUGGUGGAGUCAAAGUCAAUUCUGUAAGGUUUAGAUUUGUUUUCUGAUAUUGGUUUUAAGAAUCUGUUUGUGUAGAUUUCAAAAUCUCUGCAGUAUAUCUUGGAUUUUGAUUCUAAUAAUUUACUCAUGAAACUCCAAAGAGGUUUCAUUUGAAAUGACUUAAUAUACAAAGAUUUUACAAGUCUUUUAGUUUUGAAUAACACUGGAUUUUACAAAUCUUAAAGAAUUGACUUUAACUCCACCAUUGAAUAACACCAAACUUUUAAAAUCUAAUAAAGUAUAAGAUCUAAUAACACCCGAUUUUAACUUUAGAUUUAUAAUCAUUAGUUGAAUAACACUGGAUUAGUGUUGGAUUUCAAUUCUAUUAAAAUCCAUCAUUGAAUAACACCAGCUAAGAUUAUUUUUAAUUAAUUAAGAAAGUUAGCUAUUAUUUGGAAUUAAUUUAGGAAAUUCUUUUUUCAAUUUUUAAUUAUUUGGUUGUUGAAAUAGAGAUUUUUUUGAGGUAACUACGGAAUUUACCAAUUAUUCGCGUAAUCGAAUAUGUUAUGAACAUAUAUUUAGUAUAUAAUAUACCAAAUUCAACCCGUGCAUGGAGUCUAUAUUUUUAUUUUAGAAUCCUAAUGAAAACAUUGCGUGCACAAUCUAUUAUUCGUUAUUUCCAAAAUUGCUUGCACAAUCAAAUUUUCAAAUAUUUUGUGGUGUCAACCUUAUUUAAUCUAUCUGAUCAUAUAAUCUUAACAUGUCGUCUAUUAUAAGGGUCAUAAUUUUAUAUCAUAUAAUAUAUUAUAUUUAACCCUCCGCCUACUAUAACUAUUUUAAAUAUAUCUUUUUAGAAAAUCAAAUUAAAGUAUUUAUAAUUUUUUUUAUCUUUUUAAUCUAUUAAAUAUUUAUGAUAUUCAUUAAAAUAUUAAAUUUAACUAUUUUUAAAUGUUCCAAAUUAAAAUCUUUUAAAAUAUUUAUUGUAGUAUAUAAAAUUAUGAAUUUCAAAAAAUAAUUAUAAAAAAUUAAAUAGAAAUAUUCAAACAGUUAUAAGGAUAAUAACUCAUUUGUUAAUAUAAUAUAUUAUAUUUAACCCACUGCCUAUUAUAAAUAUUUGUUUUUAAUUAAUCAAAUUAGAGUAUUUAUUGAUGAUAUUCUUUAAAUAUUGAUGAUAUUCUUGAAAAAUAUCAAUUAAAACUAAUUUUAUAUGUUGCAAAUUAAAAUAUUUAAAAAUCUUAUGUAGUAUAUAAAAUAAUACAUUUCAAAAAAUAAAUAUAUGAAAUUGAAUAUAAAUAUUCAAAUUCUGACCCGUUAGUCAGUCAAAAUUUUUGUUGAACUUAUUUUUGGUUAAAAGAAAUAUAUUACUCAAAUAUGAAUUUUUGACCCGUUAAAUUUUUUUCUUCAUAGAUUUAACAAUUUAAAUUCGUUUUUAAAAAUUCAAAUCUUGGCAUAUGCAGAAAAAAUUUACUUUUUUUUUGUUAUAUGGAUGACAUGAUGAUUUAUUUGUUUCAUAAAAAUAGAAUCAUAUAAAGAUGAGAGGUGAAGUAUAAUGAUUAAUAACAAAUUAAUAUGGUUAGUUAGAUAUCAAAUCUUAUAUGUUCAUUUUGAUUGGUCAUUCUUUUUUUAAGUUAAUAAUAUAUUUUCGUUUUUAAUAAUUAAAUUAAUUAAAUUUCAUAAAUUAGUAUUUGACUUGUUUAUCAUUAUUGAGCUAAAUUAAUUUACUCUUUAUAUUUUUAUCUCUAAUGGUAUUCUAAUGUAAUAACUUACAAAUGAGAAAGUUAUUAAAGGGUAAUUAUAAAUUGUACUCCCCAAAUAAUAGUAUAGGAUAUAUUAGUCCAUAAACAGUGGAGUGUUUCUAUUUUGGAUUUUUAUAAAGUUAAAUGAAUCUGUGUAAAUAUUGAUAUUGACAUUUUGUUAAAAGAAUAUUUUGGGGUUAUUGAGAAUCGGGAUAAUUUCCUUUUUAGAAAAACUAUCUAGAGUUAUAUAUUGAUGAAUCUUGAUAUUUAAUUGGUAAAUACGAAUAUUUGAGAUCAAUACAAAUAGUAUAUUUCUGUAAUAUGUUUUCCGUUUUUUGUUGUUUGUGUAUAUAUUACGAUGAUUUAAAAUUCUAUCUUUCUUAUAUAUUAAAGGAGAAGUCGAAACUGCUCACCUUCGCUCUCACAAAUUGAAAGUACUCUUUUGCCUUUAAGGAAAUUGCCUAAUUUAAUUCUGUUGAAAAAUUUUCUUUUUUCUAUAAAAAAUAUUUGAACUGAAUAUUAAAAAAAAUGUUAAGAUACCCGAAUAUGUUUAGUGGGUUUAUUUUCAGAAAAAAAAUGGCAUGUUAUAAAUUACAUCGUCAUAUGUAAAACCCUAAAACCCUAUGUUACAAAACCCUAUAAAUAUAAGAUGUCUUUCAUGAAACACAAACAUCACAUUUUUUAUUUUAUGCAUCUUCGUUAUGGUUUAUAGUUUUUGAUUUGUACCUCAAAGUUGGUCUUUUUUAUGAUGCAUCUUCAUCAAUGUUUUGUUCUCCUUUUUUAUGUUAUGGUUUCUCGGAAAGUAAGAUCUCAUAGAUCUUUGUCAAUUGUUGAUCAACUUCUUAAACGAGAUUUAUAGUUUACCAUGUUACAUGUUUGGAUUUUCAUAAUUGGUUUGUUGUCCUAUAUGUGUAUAUUAAUUAGCCUUUUUUCAGGCACAUGCAUAAACUAUUAUGAUUGUGGAUUAUAAACUAUUUGUGAAAUUAAGGUAUUCUUUAAUUUGAUAUGCUCUACACGUUUCAAGAAAUAAAUUCUUAAUAUUUUUUUUUUCUCUGGGCUCACGUUGAUAGGUGCACUAAUGAAAG